UUGCAAUGCACCAGGCUAUGUGUGGAGGCCCGGGGGAGCAGCAGGCAUACACAGAUGCCUCGAAGGAGGCCGGGGACAGCAGUGGUUUCUGGCGCUCUGGACCUGGAAUGUUUCCUCCUCAAAGGACAGGGAGACUUCGCCUCGCACACAGUAAAUCAAAGGUGUUUGUGCGAGGGACAGAUUGGUGACCAUGGAAGCUGGCUUCCAAGGAGCGGUGCUUUCCUUAGAUCUCCGCAUCAGGAUUCGCAGGAAAAGAACGGGAGCUCGGGCUUCCUCCCGGCGCAGCGGGCGUUCACAACGGAGAAUUCCCACGGCCCACGCAGCGUGCCGAAGCAAGACUUUGCUGAGUGCAAUUUCACAUAGCAUUAAACAAG
rnacentral:lncRNA from 1 species